AUAAUAUCUUUCAAUCAGGGUGUAGACAAAUUACGCAUGUUACUAUAUAGAGUAAUAAAGGAACAGUUAUUCAAAGACAAGAGUUUUUUCUUCUACGCUUGUUGGUGUGUUCUGUGUGUUGGACGGUGUUGUUGUUCUCACACCAUGUACUGCCACGACUCCAUGAUGCUGCACAGCAUUAUAUGUUUACAUGUGCCCUACAUUGUGUGUGUGUGUGUGUGUGUGUGUGUGUGUGUGUGUGUGUGUGUGUGUGUGUGUGUGUGUGUGUGUGUGUGUGUGUGUGUGUAGAGAGAGAGAGAGAGAGAGAGAGAGAGAGAGAGAGAGAGAGAGAGAGAGAGAGAGAGAGAGAGAGAGAGAGAGAGAGAGAGAGAGAGAGAAAGGGGCGGUUUAUUGAGGUGUGCGUGCCGUCAUGAUGACAGACAGUGAUUGCGAGGGUUCGGGUGAGGUGACUGGAGCUGGAGGCGCCCGGACAGAUGAGGUGACCAGUCCGGAUAUUCCCACUUAGUGACGAGAGGAAUGGUGGGGAUAGGGAGUGACCUAUACACCCACCCACACACACACACACACACACUUUAAAGCUGCAGUCUUGUAAACUUAUCAUCACCAUUAUUAUUAUUGUUAUUAUUAUUCUUAUUAUUAUCAUUAUUAUCAUUAUUAUUAUUAUUAUCAUUACUGUUGCCGCCAAGCGGGUGGAAGAAGUUGUUGUUGUGCAAGCGAGUUUGUCAAUGAGGAAGGAAAGGACCUGGAGGUCAGGGCGAGGACCAAGACGAGGCCUAAGUCAGCGAAUUCUUGUACGGUCGGUGUUGAGGUAGUGUUGAUGGAAGGAGAUGAAGGAUGCUUGUUAUGACAGGAAGCUAAGAUGAUGCCGGCCUUAUCACCGUCGCUGAAGGAUAACGAGGGACACUUUGCUAAGGACACUCGUGCAGGGAGGACGUGUGUUGCUGCAGAGACAGAAGUAGAUAGAUCUACCUAAAGCACCUGUCAGAAAAGGCGUGCGCGUUACUUAACGAUUACCUCAAGACCCAAACACGUUUUGACCAAAUUCAAGCGGAUUCAAUCGGACUCAAUAAACGAUUCGUGUCAUCGUGUGGGUCUGAAACAACCUUCGCCGCCUGCUGGAGAUAAUAAUUACUAUCAUCAUCAUUAAACACAAAGACCAUAGAGCUUCAGAUGUUAUGCGCCGAGAAUACAAAAUAAUCUGUGAUUAACCUCUGUUUCUACGCCUUCCAAAGUAUUGAUCGCUCUGGCAUGACUACGAAUUCUCUUCCUUUGUGUCUUUGAAAUUUAAAAUUACUCUUUGUUUGUGAAAUUAAAAAGAAAGCAAAAUUGUUUAUGAAAUUCUUCAAACCUUACCAACACUUUGUUAUCGUCUGACACUUCAUCUUCAUGAUGGUGCUUAGUCUCCAUGACCAUGACUGGAGCAAUCCAGGCUCACGUCUCGCCAGUGACAGGUCGAAACCAAUGCGCACCGACCUUGUUGUGGUGAUGAUUUAACAAGCCAUUAGUGGUCCCUGUUACGGCUGGUCUGCGAGGCUCAGCCAGUCAUCUCAUGUCGCCGCCACAAGGUUUCUGGCAGGAUGAUACAUGACAUUUUUUCAACUUUUUUUUUUU